UACAGAGGGUGCGAGCGUUGUCCGGAAUCACUGGGCGUAAAGGGCGCGUAGGUGGUGGCUUAAGCGUGCGGUGAAAGCUCGGGGCUCAACUCCGAGUCGGCCGUGCGAACUGGGCUCACUGGAGCAUAGUAGAGGCAGGUGGAAUUCCGGGUGUAGCUGUGGAAUGCGUAGAGAUCCGGAAGAACACCGGUGGCGAAGGCGGCCUGCUGGGCUAUGGCUGACACUGAGGCGCGACAGCGUGGGGAGCAAACAGG
rnacentral:rRNA from 1 species